GAGAAGAGGGAGCUGAGCCCGUGGCUGCCUGAGAACCUUAUGGAUCCCUGAGAGAGGGAGAGCAAGGGAGAGAGAGAGAGGAAGGGGGACCAGUGCUGUGAGUGGGGAGCGAGAAUGCUGUAAGGAGCACAGUUCAGGGAGGAAAUAAACUGGACUUUUCUGUCUUUCUUUUUAGAAAACCUGUGGACUAUCCGAUACGUUGAGUGAGGGUCUGGUCUCAGUGGAUUAGACAGAACCAAACAGACAGAACCAGCACCAUGGGAGCCCCCAGGGUGAAGGUGUCCGUUAUCUCGCCGCUGCUCGUGCUCCUAUUGUGCAUCCUCCCCUCCCACGCGCAGGACGAGUACUCUGGUUACCACUCAGGUGAUGAACACACCUAUGAGGGCUCCUUGGUCGACAACUAUGAGCAUUCAGGAUACCCACAACCAGAGGAAUACCCACCGGAGCCCACUCACAGUUAUGAGGAGCAGCAACCCUCAUCUGGAUAUGACCCCUAUGCACCAGCCCCCACCAGUGUGAGCAUGAUCACAGAGGACUCCUACCCCUACACCACCACCACACAGGUACCAUACGAGCAGGAUCCCUACGAAGAGUCGCUCCAGGCCCCUGGUGGUGGGGAGGCUUCUCUGGGGGAGGAGGGGCCAACAGACUGUAACUGUGAGCCUGGAGAGCCAGGGUUCGCUGGGUUUGCAGGGCCCAAGGGAGCCAGAGGACUGCAAGGUAAAGAUGGCUUCCCUGGGGCUCAGGGACGGGAGGGGUACAAAGGAUUCAAAGGAGUUCUAGGAAGAGGAGGAGACACAGGGCCUGAGGGUGACUCCGGGCCUGAUGGGGAGGACGGUGCCUCUGGUUUCUCUGGAGCCCAGGGCUUGCCUGGUCUUCCUGGAGAUCCAGGUGAGACAGGGGUGCUAGGACUGAAGGGUGACAUCGGUAUGGAGGGGCCACGCGGAGGAGUGGGGGUAACGGGUGAGACUGGUUCAAUUGGUGAGGCAGGGCCUGGUGGGCCUGAUGGAACUGGAGGUAUCAAGGGAUCAACUGGAGCAGAAGGGAAACAGGGUCCUGAGGGAACAGAAGGGGAAAAGGGUCAGAUUGGAGCACCUGGAUUCUCAGGAGACCAUGGGGAGAUGGGCUAUAAUGGGUAUCCUGGAGAGCCAGGAGGCAGAGGAGAGACUGGUCACAAGGGUGACCAAGGCCCAGGGGGCAUGCCAGGCAGUGAUGGGGAGCCUGGAGAGGAUGGUCCUCUUGGAGUUCCUGGGGUGAUCGGCUUUCCUGGAGAGUUUGGACAAAAGGGCGCGAGAGGGGAUCGUGGUGUGAGGGGACCUCCUGGGAGAGUAGGAGCUGGGGGGCCUCAAGGAGCGAGAGGAGAUGCAGGAGUUCCAGGGAAACCAGGACCUAAAGGCCUGCAGGCCCAGCCUGGAGCCAAAGGGGAGACAGGACCUGAUGGUGAGAAGGGCGGGGUUGGAAGAACUGGUGUGAAGGGAGAGAAAGAGGAGAAGGGAAGUUUUGGAGCACGUGGUGACAAAGGACAGCAAGGGGAGAGAGGUACCAUCGGCCCUGAUGGCAUUGUUGGACGAAAUGGACUGAGGCUCCAGAGGAGAGCCAGGUCCAGGUGGUGACCUGGGCUUCAAAGGUGGCUCUUGACCUAAAGGAGUGCCAGUUUCCCCUGUGCGUACCAGGAGCCAUCUCCAGUCUGUCUGGAGGAAGGGUCUCCCCUUUAUUUUACAUUGACACAUAUGAACUUUUAUUGACUGAUUGAUCAAUCGAUCGAUUACUUGCUUGGUUGAUUGCCAGCUUUUUGACCUCAGGGCCCUGGGCUGACAGAUGAGUAGGUAUUGCAGCUGUGUAAAAGAGUGGUGACAGUCCAGAUCUCCCAGUAUGCAGCUUCCAUCCAGGCCAAGUGUUCCCAAGGCUGCCCCAUCAACAACCACACACUUAUUGGGCCGCCUGGAACCAGGAGACCAACUGGAGAAUCAGGCAAACCCAUGAGUCACACAGCCCCCAAACCAACCCCUAUCUACUAAGGAAGGCCUUUAUUCCAAAUGAUGAUAAGUUCUGUUGACCUCUCGCUCUCUCUCAGGGUAAAGCGGGCAAAGCUGGAGUCAAAGGAGGCAGGGGCAUCCAAGGGGACAAAGGAGUGGAUGGUCAGAAGGGGGCAGAGGUUGAAAGAGGAACAAAAUGUCUGAAAGGAAAGGGAGGUGAUCCUGGUAAAGGUCUGCCAGGACACAAUGGGCAGCAAGGCCUCAGAGGUAGGACACUGUUUCCACUGGUGUGAAACUCUCAGGUCUACCUCAACAUUGCUGGUCUUAGAAUUGUUGGAAAGUAUCUGUAAUUCACAUCCAGAUUCCCUUGACAUUGCUCCAUUCCCAGAUCAAAACUCAAUGUGUACAGCAUUGAUCUUUUUGAAAUCAUGUCCAAUUCAAUUCCUGUAUUGAAAUGGAAUUGAUCUGAGCACUGUUCCAUGGCUCACCAGUGUUGGAACGGUUUGGUGAAACACGCUGGACUCUGUACAGAGAGAUGAAACCAACCUUGACUGCAUUCCAUCUGAGCCAAGCAAGGCUCUCAAUGAACUCUAAUGUUUAGGCAUAAUUCAACUUUUUUUGCUAGGCCAAAACAAUACAUUAUUAAUUUUUUAUGCAGAAACAAAAAAAGAAAAUAGUCUUUCUCCAAGCAAAACUAUAAGGGGCUUGAGAAACUGUUUCAAAGAAAUUGGGAGAAAAUUAAACUUGCAGGAGUCUCUGGCUACCAGUCAGGUUUUGUUUUUGAUAUGAUCAACAAUGCUGUGUAUACAUUGAAAAUAAAAAGUGAUGUAAAUAAUUUUGUUAAGUAUCACAAGCACAUGUACUGUGUGUUCUGAAAUACUGUUUUAGAUAAAAUGUUCACAGACAUAACAUUGAUCAAUAUAAACGUUUUCAUGUUAAAAAUAACACAUUGAAAUGUGUUAUAUAAAUUCCAAAUACUGCAUAAUAAAUAAUCUGGCAAUGAUUUGUAGGACAGCACAAAAUGUCUGUUGAUUAAAUGAAUUUACUAUAUUCAUUGGAUGGCGGUUUUGAUUUUUAAAUAGAUUUUCAUGUACAUGAUUUAUUUUGCAUAAAUAACUUUCACAUGAACAGGAUGUUAAACUCUAUCACCUCUUAAUUGAUAUUUUUGUCAUUGUCAAUCCUCAUUGAGAAUCAUCCAACACAUUACAAGGCGGAAAUAUAUCCCUGUAAACUCAAGCAUAUCACACACGUGUUCUUAACAUUUUUACUUUUGUGUACAUGUGUUGGCAAUCAAAACCCUGAUACAAAAGCGUUACAAUGUUUGGAGACAAUUCUUUUUAAUGCAUCACCACCACAUCACAGGACAGAUUAGAAAAUGAGCAGAGCAUGAAAAGGGGUGAUUAUCUCUCAUCAAAAGCAUGCUAAACACGACAUCAACGGACAAGAAAAUAAACCUUAUUAAAAUGUUUGUUUAACGCUGCUUGUGUUCAAAAGGGCUCCUCUUAAUGUGUGUAAAAUGAUGGUUGUCAGUUCAUAUAAAAGUGUUUGGUUUUAUGGACUGGAGGGAGGUAAAGACAUAUUAUUAUUACCAAGUGAUAAACACUAUUGUACAGUACAUCUCUCUGGUGAAAUCAAUUGAGUCACAUGUCUCUAAGCUUAUUCUCUGAUCUAGGGGUGAGUAGGUGUAGCUAUAUUUGUACCAAUACAAAAUGGUCCAAGGCAAAGUAUUAUGUUUUUUUAAAAGGAGACUACUUUAAAAUACAUAUUCUUAAUCUCACAAAAUAUAUUCCGUAAUUCGAUGGGACAUUAACACAUACAAUUUGACAUUGGUCCCAAGGCAUAGUGAAGUACUGCCAUCUUGUGACAACAAAUGGUCCAUGGGAGAGAUGAUUGGCUUGUAACGGACAAGUUCACAGCUUGUUUUUCUAGCUAAUUGUACAGUCAUACUUUGUCAUUUGUGCUUUUUAGAAUUAAUAGGUAAUAAAUAGCUUAAUAAAUAUAUUUCAUAAACAACACUGUCUACAUGGCACAGCAUGAUGAGACAGUGCAGUUUAUAGUGUAGGUGGUCAGCAGCAAGAAACAUUGUUGAAUUUUGUGUUGUCAAAAAACACUAUGGCUUUCUUUCUU